UAGAGUUCCUUUUCGAACAAUUGUGAACUUGUACUCAUACCUGUCGAGAACUGGGUACUUGUGCCGUUAGCACUUUCGUUGUUUUGACAGGUUCCAUCUGCUACCUUCGUCUUGCUUCAAAUGAAGUAAGAAGGAGGGUAGAAAUAAGAAACCGGCACGGCAUGUGCCAAGGACAGUUUUUGUUGGAGUGCAUCGCCAUCAUUUCGAUGUGCUUUGUGUUAUUCUAAUAAGCGUCUAAAUGACUCCUGGCAAUGGAUAUCUUGGCUCUCGUGUCGAUGAAGAACGUAGCGAAAUGCGACACUUGGUGUGAAUUGCAGAAUCCCGUGAACCAUCGAGUCUUUGAAUGCAAGUUGCGCUCGAUGCCAUUAGGUUGAGAGCACGUCUGUUUGGGCGUCAUGCCUUGCGUCAUUCUAACCACCCACCUACGAUAAAUGUAUUGUGGGUGAUGGUGGAUGUGGAGAUUGACCCUCCGUGCUUUAAUUGUGCGGUUGGUUUAAGUGAAUGUUGUCGUUAGGUCUACGCGCGGCGAAUGGUGUAUCGAGUUAACACACGAUGUCCCUAACUGCGUUCAGUAAUCCUAGGCACGAUGUAACAUUAACUGAAACCAUUUUCGAUGUUUGCCUCAGUCGCAGGCUCGGACC
rnacentral:misc_RNA from 1 species